rnacentral:rRNA from 1 species
UGGGGAAUAUUGCACAAUGGGCGCAAGCCUGAUGCAGCCAUGCCGCGUGUAUGAAGAAGGCCUUCGGGUUGUAAAGUACUUUCAGUCGGGAGGAAGGUGUCAAGGUUAAUAACCUUGGCAAUUGACGUUACCGACAGAAGAAGCACCGGCUAACUCCGUGCCAGCAGCCGCGGUAAUACGGAGGGUGCAAGCGUUAAUCGGAAUUACUGGGCGUAAAGCGCACGCAGGCGGUCUGUCAAGUCGGAUGUGAAAUCCCCGGGCUCAACCUGGGAACUGCAUCUGAUACUGGUCAGCUAGAGUCUUGUAGAGGGGGGUAGAAUUCCAUGUGUAGCGGUGAAAUGCGUAGAGAUGUGGAGGAAUACCGGUGGCGAAGGCGGCCCCCUGGACAAAGACUGACGCUCAGGUGCGAAAGCGUGGGGAGCAAACAGG